CAAUACUUGUUAAAGAUGGUAUCGGCAACUUUCGUCUUCCUUGGCCUCUGCUUCCUCGGAGCGCUUUUGUCCUGCCAUGGAGGAACAAUUGACCAGGUACUGGUACAUCGGUGCCCUGAUAUAGAGUACAAAGGGGGCAAUGUCGACAAGGUGACGUCCUGCACGUAUGGGUGCGGCGGAGACGGCACGUACCAGUACUACGGAUUUUAC